rnacentral:lncRNA from 1 species
UGAAUCUUUGUGUUGUUUUGUCUUGAGAUUUAUCCAUGUUGGCCGGUGGCCACUUGAUAUGGUUUUUGGUCGAAAAUGUUUCUUGAGCCAAUUGUCUUAUGAAUUAUUGUGAUCAUUCUUAUAUGACUAAGUGAAGUUGUAUGAUUGAAAGAUUGUAUUGGAUAUGAUUGUUUAUCAUGAGGUGUGUAUGAUAUCUUACUAGAAUGUAAUGAAUGCUUGAAAUGGUGAAACUAUAUGUGAUAGUCGAUGUUGAAUGACAUUGUUGAUUAUUGAUAAUCAUGUGAUGUGUGAUGAUG